UACGUAGGGGGCAAGCGUUGUCCGGAUUUAUUGGGCGUAAAGAGCGUGUAGGCGGCCAGGUAGGUCAGCUGUGAAAAUUCGAGGCUCAACCUCGAGACGUCGGUUGAAACCACCUGGCUAGAGUCCGGAAGAGGAGAGUGGAAUUCCUGGUGUAGCGGUGAAAUGCGCAGAUAUCAGGAAGAACACCCGUGGCGAAGGCGGCUCUCUGGGACGGUACUGACGCUGAGACGCGAAAGCGUGGGGAGCAAACAGG
rnacentral:rRNA from 1 species